CCUACGGGAGGCAGCAGUGGGGAAUUUUGGACAAUGGGCGCAAGCCUGAUCCAGCAAUGCCGCGUGCAGGAUGAAGGCCUUCGGGUUGUAAACUGCUUUUGUACGGAACGAAACGGCCCUUUCUAAUACAAGGGGCUAAUGACGGUACCGUAAGAAUAAGCACCGGCUAACUACGUGCCAGCAGCCGCGGUAAUACGUAGGGUGCGAGCGUUAAUCGGAAUUACUGGGCGUAAAGCGUGCGCAGGCGGUUAUAUAAGACAGAUGUGAAAUCCCCGGGCUCAACCUGGGACCUGCAUUUGUGACUGUAUAGCUAGAGUACGGUAGAGGGGGAUGGAAUUCCGCGUGUAGCAGUGAAAUGCGUAGAUAUGCGGAGGAACACCGAUGGCGAAGGCAAUCCCCUGGACCUGUACUGACGCUCAUGCACGAAAGCGUGGGGAGCAAACAGGAUUAGAUACCCUGGUAGUCCACGCCCUAAACGAUGUCAACUGGUUGUUGGGUCUUCACUGACUCAGUAACGAAGCUAACGCGUGAAGUUGACCGCCUGGGGAGUCGGCCGCAAGUUGAACUUAAAUGAGUGNGNGNGAGAGNGCGAGACGACGACGAGGGAGGAGG
rnacentral:rRNA from 1 species